AUUGAACGCUGGCGGCAGGCCUAACACAUGCAAGUCGAACGAGUUGCGGACGUGUGAGUAAUGUCUGGGAAACUGCCUGAUGGAGGGGGAUAACUACUGGAAACGGUAGCUAAUACCGCAUACCAUCGGAUGUUCCCCGCUGGGAUUAGCUAGUCGGUGGGGUAACGGCUCACCUAGGCGACGAUCCCUAGCUGGUCUGAGAGGAUGACCAGCCAGACUGGAACUGAGACACGGUCGAGACUCCUACGGGAGGCAGCAGUGGGGAAUAUUGGACAAUGGGCGGAAGCCUGAUGCAGCCAUGCCGCGUGUAUGAAGAAGGCCUGCGGGUUGUAAAGUACUUGCAGCGGGGAGGCGUUACCCGCAGAAGAAGCACCGGCUAACUCCGUGCCAGCAGCCGCGGUAAUUC
rnacentral:rRNA from 1 species